AUCGGUGUUGCUCAGUUGGUAGAGCACACACCUAGCAAGCAAGAAACCCUGGGUUCGAUCCCCAGCACUGACU
rnacentral:tRNA from 1 species